rnacentral:tRNA from 1 species
GUCAGGAUGGCCGAGUGGUCUAAGGCUCAAGCUUUCGCUUCCCUUAUCGGGGCUUCUGGUCUCCGUAUGGAGGCGUGGGUUCGAAUCCCACUUCUGACA